AUAUUGGUUGCGGGUCUGGUAGUUUUAGUGCUCGUCUUCUAUCGCUUAAGCUGAUGUGUGACAGCAUAUGAGCCAACAGGUAGACAUGUUCAAUUGGCAAUUGAUAGAGGUCUCCCUUCAAUCACAACUUAAUCUAAAGACAGCUCCCUCUUCAUCCUUGUCAUAAGAAGUGGUUCACUGCACUCACUGUAGCAAUGGUCUGGGAUAACAAAGGUAUGAUCCUCAUUAAGUUUUGGGGUUUUGUUUUUUUCCAUUAAAUCACCAUUUCUUCAUCAGAUUAAGUGCAGUGGUUUUUAUUGAUUUUUCACCGAUGAAAAUACUUGAAAAUAAUUUGACAUUUAGCCUAAUGU
rnacentral:lncRNA from 1 species